GAUGAACGCUAGCGGGAGGCCUAACACAUGCAAGCCGAGCGGUAUUGUUUCUUCGGAAAUGAGAGAGCGGCGUACGGGUGCGUAACACGUGUGCAACCUGCCUUUAUCUGGGGGAUAGCCUUUCGAAAGGAAGAUUAAUACUCCAUAAUAUAUUGAACGGCAUCGUUUAAUAUUGAAAGCUCCGGCGGAUAGAGAUGGGCACGCGCAAGAUUAGUUAGUUGGUGAGGUAACGGCUCACCAAGGCGAUGAUCUUUAGGGGGCCUGAGAGGGUGAUCCCCCUCACUGGGACUGAGACACGGACCAGACUCCUACGGGAGGCAGCAGUGAGGAAUAUUGGACAAUGGGUGCAAGCCUGAUCCAGCCAUCCCGCAUGAAGGACGACUGCCCUAUGGGUUGUAAACUUCUUUUGUAUAGGGAUAAACCUACCCUCGUGAGGGUAGCUGAAGGUACUAUACGAAUAAGCACCGGCUAACUCCGUGCCAGCCGCCGCCGUAA
rnacentral:rRNA from 1 species